rnacentral:lncRNA from 1 species
AGCAUGACGCAAUUAGUGCAAGUAUAUAUGGAUGUAUGUGUCAUUUUCAUCUGUCCCACGCUAAUGAUAAAAAAUCUCCAGGAAGUAUUUUUUAUAGAGGGAUCAAGUAAUACAACACGAUAGCAAUUCUUACAAACCAGUUUCCACAAAUUUUAAACUCAGAAAACAAAAGGGUGCAAUGUAACCGCAUUAUUUUUCCGAUUCCGAUGUGCCAUUUGAUCCAUAACGAACACAGGUCACCCAAGAUGGUAAAACUCUAAUCGCUGCAGGCGACAGGUACAGACAGGAGCCGCAGCGCCAAUCAGUAGUCGUCGCCUCUGGAUAUGACUUCUUUACAGGUUGGCCGGAGCAAAAUGGUGUGCUCAAACUGGGACACAUAGCUUCCCCUCACAUCGCACAAUGGCG